GCGGGCGUAGCUCACGUGGCAGAGCACCAGCUUCCCAAGCUGGGGGUCGGGGGUUCGAGUCCCCUCGCCCGCU
rnacentral:tRNA from 1 species